UACCCGCAACACAAGUGGUGGUCAUUAUUAUUGGGCCUAAAGCGUCCGUAGCUGGCUUGUUAGAUGCCUGGGUAAAUCGAUGCGCUUAACGCAUCGAAUUCCGGGUAGACCGGCAAGCUCGAGACCGGGAGAGGUGUAGGGUACUCGGGGGUAGGGGUAAAAUCCUGUAAUCCUCCGGGGACGACCAGUGGCGAAGGCGCUACACUAGAACGGCUCUGACAGUGAGGGACGAAGCCCUGGGGCGCAAACCGG
rnacentral:rRNA from 1 species